AUUGAACGCUGGCGGCGUGCCUAACACAUGCAAGUCGAGCGGCAGCGCGGGAGCAAUCCUGGCGGCGAGCGGCGGACGGGUGAGUAAUGCUUGGGAAUCUGCCUGUUAGUGGGGGACAACCCGGGGAAACUCGGGCUAAUACCGCAUACGCACUACGGUGGAAAGCCGGGGACCGCAAGGCCUGGCGCUAACAGAUGAGCCCAAGUCGGAUUAGCUAGUUGGUAGGGUAACGGCCACCAAGGCGACGAUCCGUAACUGGUCUGAGAGGACGACCAGUCACACCGGAACUGAGACACGGUCCGGACUCCUACGGGAGGCAGCAGUGGGGAAUAUUGGACAAUGGGGGAAACCCUGAUCCAGCGACGCCGCGUGGGUGAAGAAGGCCUGCGGGUUGUAAAGCCCUUUCAGUGGGGAAGAAAGCCUCGACCUAACACGUCGGGGUCUUGACGUAACCCAUAGAAGAAGCACCGGCUAACUCUGUGCCAGC
rnacentral:rRNA from 1 species